AAAAUUAGAAAAUAGAAGGAGAGCCCGAGAGAGCUUUGGGACAAAAUGAAACGAAGCAACAUAUGUAUAAUAGGGGUGCCAGAAUGACAAGAAGAGG